AGAGUUUGAUCAUGGCUCAGAUUGAACGCUGGCGGCAGGCCUAACACAUGCAAGUCGAGCGGUAGAGAGAAGCUUGCUUCUCUUGAGAGCGGCGGACGGGUGAGUAAUGCCUAGGAAUCUGCCUGGUAGUGGGGGAUAACGUUCGGAAACGGACACUAAUACCGCAUACGUCCUACGGGAGAAAGCAGGGGACCUUCGGGCCUUGCGCUAUCAGAUGAGCCUAGGUCGGAUUAGCUAGUUGGUGGGGUAAUGGCUCACCAAGGCGACGAUCCGUAACUGGUCUGAGAGGAUGAUCAGUCACNCUGGAACUGAGACACGGUCCAGACUCCUACGGGAGGCAGCAGUGGGGAAUAUUGGACAAUGGGCGAAAGCCUGAUCCGGCCAUGCCGCGUGCGUGAAGAAGGUCUUCGGAUUGUAAAGCACUUUAAGUUGGGAGGAAGGGUCGUAGAUUAAUACUCUGCAUUUAUGACGUUACCGACAGAAUACNCACCGGCUAACUCUGUGCCA
rnacentral:rRNA from 1 species